AACCUUAUGUAAACAAAACCUCUUCGGUGACAAUUCUGUACAGUCGAAAUUUAGCUGGAAUUCCAAUGAGAAAUCUCGCUAAUAGUUCGAAAAGAUAUCGAAAUUCAGCUCAAAAUGUAAAAUAUGAUUUCUCUUCAAAUUUCAAUAAACAUAUCUUCUAUAGAACAAUGUCUACUAUACGCCCUUCACCAAAUUAAAAGAAAGAGCAGAAGAUCACUAUGAACUGCAAAACUUUGCAUCACAAAAGACCAGCUCUUGGCGUCAGAAGAUCAAGACGCUGGCCGAUCAAUUAUGUAGAGGGUUUGGCCCGCCGGGCGUGGUUCUCAUGGAGGCGCCGAAGACCGGGUCGGCGUCGCGGUCCCCACUCGAUCCAACAGUGCCUUUAGCCAAGAGAUGCAACCGCAGCGAGUGCUCAAACUGGGAGCGAAAAUCCGGCCUCGUGGAGCGGUGCUUGAGAUGCUCUUCUCGACGAAGAUCACCUGCGAAUCCACGGAUGUUUCGGCAACUCGAGAGCCGAGAAACGAACAGUAGCGUCAUCAAGAAGAGAAAUGGCAGCUUCCUGCUAUGUGUUCUCAUGAUCUUCUUUUCUGAAGUGAUUGAUCUAUGAAAGAAGACAGAAGAAAGGAUGUGGACAGACAACGAACCGAAAGAAGGAAGUUCCGGGUCAGUGCUAUAACGGGCAAAGCAUCUCCAAGUUCAAGCCCUUUAAAACGAGAUCAGGCAGAUGGGAGUCAGUGGUGUGGAAGCAGCCAAAAGCCCGCAACUUGUUCCGCGCGCGAUGACGGAAAGCACCCCCGCGCGCCGAGGCGUUUCGAGAAGUCAAAGGCCAUUGUCGUCCUUCCGCUGCUAAACUACCGGUUCGUUUCAAAAGCCGAGACGCGGUUGUUCAAGCGUUAUCGUCCGUUGACUUCCCAUUAAAGAUGGGAUUGGACGCCCCUUGCGCGUGAUCGGUCUGUACUUUUCUGCAAUGAAGUUAGGGGAGGUGAAGGCUUGGGAUUCCGUCGGAAGAGGAAGACGCGGCGAGGCGGCGGCGACAGGUGGCGCAGCACAUGAUCCCUGCG
rnacentral:lncRNA from 1 species